GUGCUCACUUCGGAAGCACAUAUACUAGAAUAGGAACGACACAGGGAAGAUUAGCAUGGCCCUUUCGCAAGGAUGACACACAAAUUCGUGAAGCAGUCCAUAUUUUU
ensembl:snRNA U6 U6 spliceosomal RNA